rnacentral:rRNA from 1 species
UACGUAGGGUGCGAGCGUUACUCGGAAUUACUGGGCGUAAAGCGUGCGCAGGCGGUUCGCUAAGACCGAUGUGAAAUCCCCGGGCUUAACCUGGGAACUGCAUUGGUGACUGGCGGGCUAGAGUGUGGCAGAGGGGGGUAGAAUUCCACGUGUAGCAGUGAAAUGCGUAGAGAUGUGGAGGAAUACCGAUGGCGAAGGCAGCCCCCUGGGCUAACACUGACGCUCAUGCACGAAAGCGUGGGGAGCAAACAGG